CUUCCUGACCCGGCUGCUAGACACUCAGUCCCGUCAGCCACCGCGGCUCCUUCGCUGCCGAGAAUGCGCAAAAUCAAACUGCGAGCUCUGGAAUCUAACUCGUCUGGCGACUCAACCUUUCAACAUUUAUUUUGUGACGACGUUAAAUAACACCAACACCUGAACUUCAGAAAAUAUCCCAGCUCUCUUUUGCAAGCGAAAAAAGAAGAAAAACAACAACAACAACAACAACAACAACAAAAACAAGCGAGGCUAGCAAAGGGAAAUCCUGACAUAGAGCCCAGCUUCUAAACUCCAACCCGGGCCCUGUCCACAACUGUGAACUGUCUAAGUAAAGGACUUUAGAUUUAGAAGCAUCAUUAAGGGGUGAAAAUAACGCAACAAAAACCAAUCUUUGGCCUUACCUACGCCCUGCAGCGGUUCUUUCCUGACUGUUGGGACCUAACACAGCACCAUAGCUAGUGCUCGACUAUUCUGUAGCUGUCGUUUAAUUACUACUGGUUACUCCUUAAAUUACUUAAUCUGUGUUUUCUCAUCUGGAAAGAGGAUCAUAAUUGCACUAGUGUAGCAGCAAA